AAACCAACCGGGAUUGCCUUAGUAACGGCGAGUGAAGCGGCAAAAGCUCAAAUUUGAAAUCUGGCACCUUCGGUGUCCGAGUUGUAAUUUGAAGAAGCUACUUUGGGGCUAGUCCUUGUCUAUGUUCCUUGGAACAGGACGUCAUGGAGGGUGAGAAUCCCGUAUGGCGAGGAGUCUAGUCCUAUGUAAAGUGCUUUCGACGAGUCGAGUUGUUUGGGAAUGCAGCUCUAAGUGGGUGGUAAAUUCCAUCUAAAGCUAAAUAUUGGCGAGAGACCGAUAGCGAACAAGUACAGUGAUGGAAAGAUGAAAAGAACUUUGAAAAGAGAGUGAAAAAGUACGUGAAAUUGUUGAAAGGGAAGGGCAUUUGAUCAGACAUGGUGUUUUGCGACCCUCGCUCCUUGUGGGUGGGGAUCUCGCAGCUCACUGGGCCAACAUCAGUUUUGGCGGUAGGAUAAAUCUUUGGGAACGUGGCUUGUCUUCGGAGAAGC
rnacentral:rRNA from 1 species